CACGGGGGCAUGUCAACGGGCGGGGCUUGGGAUCGGUAAAGCGUGGCGCUCCAUAGGCGGGGGGACAUGGAGAUCACAAUUAUGAAAACCAAAACCCCUCCGCAGCGGUGACCGACACCCCACCCAUUUAUGAGCCCGGUGGGUACCUCCUCCCAAGACUCGCCGGGGGAGUGAGUGCGCGGUGGGUCCGCGUUUUGGGAUCGACACUCCUCCUCCUCCGACGGCGCCGGCGGCCCGCCCAGUUUCUGCUCUAACGACUGCUAGAGUUGCGGCUGGGGCGCCUCCUGCUCCUACUUCUCCUCCACCACCACCUCCUCCCGCUCCUGCUCCACGAGCAGCGGAGGCUGCUGCUGCUGCCCCGCCGCCUGCCGCGGCCUCCCCCGCUCUUGAAGCACGGCGCGUGCGACCUCCUUCGAGAGCACGGCGCCCACCCGUGCCACAAGCUGAGGCAGCUGCUCCGCAAAAGCGAGAUGUUCCGUAUGCGGAAGGCGUACCCUAAGGUGCGGCACGCGGCGUGGACGGUGUUGAUGCUCCCCUAAGCGAUGGCGAGGUGGAAGUCGACGUGAGUUCGACCGUUCAGGGCCCUUCCCCGGCGGUGGGGCAGCCUUCUAAGUCCGCGGGCGAUGGGUGAGGCGUUGUUCGCACCCCGUCGGUGGGGCCUCUUCGCCCGAGCCGCAUGGUGGCGGCUCUUCUGACCUACGUUCCGCUACGACUAGUAGGCACUGUUCGCCCACUUGCUAUCCACCUUCCACCUCAAGCAGCUGAACCUCGUAUUGGUGGGAACGUGUGGCCUAUACCACUCCAAAAAUUUUCGGAUGUCCCUCUACGGUCUCAGUCGGUUCUUCUUCCGGUUCUAAUGACACCUCUACCUACUCUACCACCUCUUCAGUAACUCACUCUAACGACUCUGGUCCUUCAAAGGCUGAGCGGGGUUCGCCUCGGAGUCACCACCUCGACGACGACCACCCAACUCCAAAUUAUCUUGGCUGUCAAAACACGUCGCGAAGCCCCUGCUUCUGGAGUAACGUCAGUUCUUCAAGUAGCUUUACUACGUCCUUUUCUUUGGUUUGAAGUAAGUAUCGACCCUAGAACUAGUCCUUUCAGCGUACUUCUUAAAAAAGACCUGUCUAAACUCCAGAGUCCGGGUCAUGGCGAUGAAACCACUACAGUAAAGUGAACUACAUUACAUGAACGUCGUGAGAGCACGAUCGGAGGGAAACCGGUGUGAGGAACCCCACUUAUUGGUACCGGUGGAACACGAUGAACCAACACCAGACGAGAGGUUUCUGUCAUUUCUCUUGAUACAGACCAACAACUUCUCCACCGACUCGACAUACUUACCGUUCGGUGGUCUCCGCUAAUGUUGAUCAAUAAGUGUACAGCACCGUCUCCGACACAGACUCCAGAACGGUCUACGUUCCGUGGCGAAGACGAAAACCGUAUAGAACUUCUUCGAGGUUCUUUUGCACCCUGCAUGUGUACUCUUUCUCCGUUAAAGAAACUCUAAGUUCCUCCAACAAAUACUGUGUCAGUGAGAAUGACUGAAACUUUUCCUCACCCUCCGGUACCAACUCGUGAUGUUCGACUUUCUAUUACUUACCAAGAGACGUGAUAUGUCGACGGCCUUCGUCACCCGAGGACCAAUACAGUUAGUAAGCAAAACCCGACCGUGUAGACGAUAGUCCUUCCAACUUUUUGGUCUAGGUAUGAAACUACCACAACACUGUUCAUUUUGGUGUAAUGGUCAAAAGGAACUCGUUAUACUCUGAUGGGAGUCUCCCUUCGACCUUUCCCUUCGUAUGCUACUAAACGCGAGGAUAAUAAGAUCCGAGUGAAACGACAGUCCUAAUGGUAAACUCCUCGUUGAAGACCUCGACAUAUGUCAUGGGUACAAAGUCCGUAAGGUUCUACUCUAGUUCGUUAAUUACGUACAAUAAACAUUUCUCCAUCUGUCCUCGCCCUUAAGUUAAUGGAUGUACCAGUCGCUCAAUUAUGUCCCGUUCUUCCAACUGAUAUGCCAACAGAUGUUGUUAAGACUGUUCCUACAAACCACGUAAACAGCGAGAAAAGGUAGUGCCCCGUAAGAAACGUCGGUACGAGACAGACAAGACUUCGUUCUCUUACACAACUACGACGGUAGUUUCAUGUAGGAGUCGGCGACCUCCUUCCUGAAGUCUUAAUAAGUGCGCAGACGUUCGAGCUUGAGACACCGUAACGUCUCUCUAAGCUCGUAAAAACUACUAGACAUGCACGCACCGGUACUUAUAAAUCUUCUACAAUAGCUAUAACCCCGAUCUCUUGGACUCAACUUCCUCAAACACGACAGACGGUACUUUCUUCGCUUCCCGUUUGAUCAUUCCGGACCGGUCUGGGUCGUUCCACUAGUCGCCCAACUACAUUUAUACCGUCAUUGACCAGUCCAUAGGCGACUAUCUUCUCAACUACACUUGUACCGUAGUUUGUGGUGUAGGUAGUAAGUGUCCCUGUCUUCCCAACUCCGUUUGUACGGUAAUUUAUGUUCUCGGGACCAAGUACUCCUAUUGUACCGUAGGUUGUGCGGUAGGGACUAGGUACCCCUGUCUUCUCGGCUAUACCUUUACGUUUGUGGGGUGGAAUAGGUGUCUCUCCCUUCUCAACUGUACUUGUACUGUCGGGGAGUGAACUACGUCUCCCUCUCUUCUCAUCUGCACUUAUACUGCAGGGGAGUGGACUAGGUACCCCUGUCUUCUCAGCUAUACUUGGACCCCAGCGGUGUGAAGUAUGUGUCGCUGUCUUCUCAACUAUACUUGGACUGUAGGGGAGUAGACUAUGUACCCCUGUCCUCUCAACUAUACUUGUACCGCAGUGGUGUGGACUAUGUACCUCUGUCUUCUCAACUAUACUUGUACUGCAGGGGAGUGUACUAUGUGCCACUCUGCUCUCACCUAUACUUGUACCAUAGGUGAAGAGUCCUACUACGCUACGUGUGAAAACUAAACCACUUGCAGUUGGACCUCUCAAGAAACGGUUACCGACGUUGUCUAAAGUACGUUUACGUAGGUGUGGGUGGUCAAAUGGUAGGGUUUGUUGAGGAGUUAUACUCUCUAGUCCACUACCUGAGUUUGUUCUCUAGGUUACACCUUUGGUUAUGAAUAAAGUAGCCUCCACCUUACGUACACCCCAUCAAAUUGACAGAUGACGACAUUGUAAACAAAUCUUUCCCUCUGCUGGAAGAACAUACAACUAUACAUACAAGAAUCAAGUCCGUCAUGGUGAUUAGUUGAUCAAACAUGAUUAACGUCUAGUUUGUAACUAACAACCGUCGAGAGGACAUUGUAAAAAAGGGACAGACCGUCAACGUCAAUCGAUGAACUUACCGU
rnacentral:rRNA from 1 species